AAUGCGCUAAGUAAUGUGAAUUGCAGAAUUCAGUGAAUCAUCGAAUCUUUGAACGCACCUUGCGCUCCUUGGUAUUCCUUGGAGCAUGCCUGUUUGAGUAUCAUGAAAUCUUCAAAGUAAAUCUUUUGUUAACUCAAUUGGUUUCUACUUUGGUAUUGGAGGUCUUUGCAGCUUCACACCUGCUCCUCUUUGUUCAUUAGCUGGAUCUCAGUGUUAUGCUUGGUUCCACUCGGCGUGAUAAGUUAUCUAUCGCUGAGGACACUGUAAAAGGUGGCCAAGGUAAAUGCAGAUGAACCGCUUCUAAUAGUCCAUUGACUUGGACAAUACUUUUAUGAUCUGAUCUCAAAUUAGGUAGGACUACCCGCUGAACUUAAGC
rnacentral:misc_RNA from 1 species